AUUGAACGCUGGCGGCAGGCCUAACACAUGCAAGUCGAACGCGUGGCGGACGGGUGAGUUAUAUCUGGGAAACCGCCUGAUGGGGGGGGAUAACUACUGGAAGCGGUCGCUUAUACCGCAUACCAUCAGAUGUGCCCAGAUGGGUUGAGAGUGUGGGUGGGGGAACGGCUCACCAAGGCGACGAUCCCUAGCUGGUCUGAGAGGAUGACCAGCCACACUGGAACUGAGACACGGUCCAGACUCCUACGGGAGGCAGCAGUGGGGAAUAUUGCACAAUGGGCGCAAGCCUGAUGCAGCCAUGCCGCGUGUAUGAAGAAGGCCUUCGGGUUGUAAAGUACUUUCAGCGGGGAGGCGUUACCCGCAGAAGAAGCACCGGCUAACUCCGUGCCAGCAGCCGCGGUAAUUC
rnacentral:rRNA from 1 species